UAUCAAUAAGCGGAGGAAAAGAAACCAACAGGGAUUGCCCCAGUAACGGCGAGUGAAGCGGCAACAGCUCAAAUUUGAAAUCUGGCCCCCGGGUCCGAGUUGUAAUUUGCAGAGGAUGCUUCGGGCGAGGUGCCUUCCGAGUUCCCUGGAACGGGACGCCACAGAGGGUGAGAGCCCCGUCUGGUCGGACACCGAGCCCGUGUGAAGCUCCUUCGAAGAGUCGAGUAGUUUGGGAAUGCUGCUCAAAACGGGAGGUAUAUGUCUUCUAAAGCUAAAUAUUGGCCAGAGACCGAUAGCGCACAAGUAGAGUGAUCGAAAGAUGAAAAGCACUUUGAAAAGAGGGUUAAAAAGUACGUGAAAUUGUUGAAAGGGAAGCGCCCAUGACCAGACUUGGGCCCGGUGAAUCACCCGGCGUUCUCGCCGGUGCACUUUGCCGGGCACAGGCCAGCAUCAGUUUGGCGCGGGGGAGAAAGGCUUCGGGAACGUGGCUCCCUCGGGAGUGUUAUAGCCCGCUGCGCAAUACCCUGCGCCGGACUGAGGUACGCGCAUCGCAAGGAUGCUGGCGUAAUGGUCAUCAGCGACCCGUCUUGAAACACGGACCAAGGAGUCGUCUUCGUAUGCGAGUGUUCGGGUGUCAAACCCCUACGCGGAAUGAAAGUGAACGCAGGUGAGAGCUUCGGCGCAUCAUCGACCGAUCCUGAUGUUCUCGGAUGGAUUUGAGUAAGAGCAUACGGGGCCGGACCCGAAAGAAGGUGAACUAUGCCUGUAUAGGGUGAAGCCAGAGGAAACUCUGGUGGAAGCUCGCAGCGGUUCUGACGUGCGAAUCGAUCGUCAAAUAUGGGCAUGGGGGCGAAAGACUAAUCGAACCUUCUAGUAGCUGGUUUC
rnacentral:rRNA from 1 species